rnacentral:sRNA from 1 species
GUCAACUACCCUCCACUAAACCCUAAAGCGGUUGUAGUGGGGGCUUGAAAAAUCCAGACGCCUGAAGCCAUGGGAGCCGAUCGGUCCACCGACUUCCUAAAAGAAGGGCAGGGUCGACAAGCCGGUUGACCAGACUCAGUCCGCUUGCGGGCUACGUUGCGUACAGGUCGUCAAGACCCACCCCGGGGUGCUUCUUGAGCUCCGGGCUCUGGAAGGUCGGGUUGCAGACAACCAUAGGGUAGGGACGAAACGGAUUCGACCGCCGCGCAAAGCGCGGGAGCCGGUACGCGCCAUUGUCGAGGGGAGACGCUUCGGAAGAAG